AAAAAAUUAUAGCCCAGCCAGUUCCAGUUUUAGGGCUUCUCCAAAACCUCUCUUUGUUUUCAAUCGCUAACGGUUCUACUUUGUUAGGGCUUCUCCAUUUCUCCCAAUCUAUAAUGCUGGUGGGUUUCUUUUGAAAAAUUUCCGAAACCAAUGGUCACCAAAUUUCAAAUUUCAAAAGAAUCAAAACGUCGGGAUCUCUAUCACCUAUCGGUUACUGAGGAAGUCGACGAUCCCAGAGAGAUUUCCCGUUUCGAUUUCUUCAAAGGGCGAGACUGACGAGGAUUGGAAUUUGGGUAAAGCAGAGGAAUUCGGUUUUUCAGGGAAAAUUGGGGGAAAGAGGGAAAAGAAAGCUUCUUCUUCUUGUGACUUUUAGUGAAAGCAGAGAGACUCAGAACUUCUUCUUCUUGUGACUUUUAGUGAAAGCAGAGAGACUCAGAAAGAGGUGAAUUUAACAUUAUUCCUUUUCAUCUCUAAUUGAUAAUAAACUUUUAUUCCAUUUAUUUUACCUUUUGAGUGUUAUCCUGGAAUUGAAUUUAAGUAAAAAGAAUGUUAUUUUUCUGGGAUUUUUUUGAGAUUGGCUUGGUUAAUAAGGUUCUAUAAAUUUCAAUACUCAACUUGUUCUUUUCAGCUGAAAUUACAUCUAACUUCUCGAACUCAAAAAAGUGGUUUAUUUUUAUAUGUACGGUUAAAGGAGUUGGCCUAGACUCAUGAGAUUCUGAGUGAUUCUGAGAAAUCAAUGAACAAUAUGGUGAGGACGUGCUCAAGGAUCGAAAGGGUGAUGGCGGUGGGGGCCAUGACCCAUUUGACAUCUUCCAAUCUUUCUUCGAUGGCAGUACUUUUGGAGGUUAUAAUUCAGUGAAUUGUUUUUUUCUUUAUAUUGUGUAUAUAGUCGUCAAGCAGCAAUUAGAAAAGGAAAAGGAAGAAAAUUUACUAAGACAUUGAGCAUACCUCGUUUCAUUGGAAGACCUUUAUUUUGGAACCUCAAAUAAGCUCUCACUUUCCUGGAAUGUGAUAUGUUCCAAGUGUAAUGGGGUUAGUAAAACUUUGCAAACCAGUAAGGAAAUUCCUGGACUCUGGUUGGUUUAUGGUUUUGGACUCCACUGAUGAAGACUGAGGAUGACCGCAUGGAUUUAAGCUCUAAUUAUUACACUUGCAAACCAGUAUGGAAAUUCCUGGACUUUGGUUGGUUUAUGGCUUUGGAAUCCAUUGGUGAGGACUGAGGAUGACCACAUGGAUUUAAGCUCAAAUCAUUUGGUGUGCAAAUCUCCUUUGAGCUUUAAUAUUAGCAUUCAUCUGGAAAGAAUAUUGGCAUCAUUAUUAUUUCCUCUCUUAAUGUUGUGGAAUGUUGCUAAUCAUUAAUGUCUCCCUCCAAUUAAGUAAUGUUGACUAUUAGCUUUGAUGAAUUCAUUUGAAAUUCUCUCAUAUGCAAAAUGAGAUUGUUUUUCUUCAUCUGGUGGCCAGACCAGCAAAGGAAGGACAUACUUUAGAAGCCAAGAAAAGGAAAAUAAAGCCCAAUCUACUAUGACCUCUAUAUGUAGACAAAACAAUUAUAGCCCAGCCAGUUCUAGUUUUAGGUUUUGUCCAAAAUCUCUCUGUGUUUUCAAUCGCUAACGGUUCUUCUUUGUUAUAGCAAGUGGGUUUCUUUCCAAAUUUCAAAUUUCAAAAGAAUUAGACGGUUGGGAUCUCCAUCACCUAUCGGUUACUGAGGAAGUCGACAAUCCAAGAGAGAUUUGCCGUUUCAAUUUCUUCAAAGGGCGAGACUGACGAGGAUUAGAAUUUGGGUAAGGCAGAGGAAUUAGGUUUUUCAGGGAAAAUUGGGGGAAAAAGGAAAAAAAAAGCUUCUUCUGUGUGUGACUUUUAGUUAAAGCAGAGAGACCCAGAAAGAGUUAAAGGAGUUGGCAUAGUCUAAUGAGGUUCUGAGUGAUCCUGAGAAAUCUAUGUAUAAUAUGGUGAGGACGUGCUCAAGGAUCGAAAAGGUGGUAGCGGUGGAGGCCACGACAGAUUUGACAUCUUCCAAUCUUUCUUCGCUGCUACUUUUGGAGGUAGUCGCAGAGGUGGACCGAGGCAGAGGAGUGGGGAUGAUGUGGUGCACCCUCUAAAGGUUUCAUUGGAAGACCUUUAUUUUGGAACCUCAAAUAAGCUCUCACUUUCCUGGAAUGUGAUAUGUUCCAAGUGCAAUGGGUUAGUAAAAAUUUUACCAAUAGCAAGUAUUUCUAGUUUACCUUUGACCUUUUUCUUCUUUAAAAAAUCUCAGGAUAUAAAUAAAUCAGCCUGGGAAAAACUCAAAAUGCCUUUAGGAAAUUUAAUCUUUAUGAGAAUUUCUUCAUCAUUGUUUUAUCAUUUCUCUGUUCCUGUGUAUCCGUGGUUGAUUUCAUUCGGUGUUGUUUUACACAUAUUGGGAUUCUAGAGCUUCUGCUGAGCACAUGGAAGAGAGGGAGUCGAUAAGAAGAUGGAUAUAUAGAAGAGCAUACAAGUUCAUCUUUUGCCCCUUCUGUUUAUGAUAGGGUUAUCGAACCGUUCCAACAUUGGUGAUAAGUAUGAUAAUUCCUUAUUGAAGAAUUUAAUUUAAGCAGUAGUCCAAUCUUGUAUAUUAUAUAUUUUAUGUUUUUAUGUUUAUGGUUGUGUAAAGAUGAACUAACAGUAAUAAGAAUGGAUGGUUAUUUAGGAUUGGGAGAGAA